GGGGCUGUAGCUCAGUGGCAGAGCAUCUGCUUGGGAUGCAGAAGGUCCUAGGUUUGAUACCUGGCAUCUCCA